AGGCAGGAAUGUUGUCGGGGCCAGUGGAUUUAGUAGUUUUACCCCAACACUUCGUACAGCUGACAUUACAACCAGGCAUUACAGUACAGGAAAAGAGUUAGGUGUGAGUUAUGUGGACGAAUGAGAACUGGAUUUCACUGUGGAAGGAAGGAUGCUAGGUUGACAUCGAUGGUUUUUUUUUUUGCCCUUGAACGGCUUCCUCUACUGUAAAAAAAUAAAUAAAUAAAUAAAAAAAAAAAA